AGGAAUAUAGCCAAAACGGUAAGGCAACGGGCUUUGGUCCCGUAAUUUGUUGGUUCGAGUCCAGCUAUUCCUA
rnacentral:tRNA from 8 species